rnacentral:tRNA from 1 species
GAUCCUGUAGCUCAGUGGUUAGAGCGACGGUCUUAUGAGCCGUAGGUCGUGGGUUCGACCCCCGCCGGGAUUA